rnacentral:rRNA from 1 species
UACGGGAGGCAGCAGUGGGGAAUAUUGCACAAUGGGCGCAAGCCUGAUGCAGCCAUGCCGCGUGUAUGAAGAAGGGCCUUCGGGUUGUAAAGUACUUUCAGCGGGGAGGAAGGCGAUGCGGUUAAUAACCGCGUCGAUUGACGUUACCCGCAGAAGAAGCACCGGCUAACUCCGUGCCAGCAGCCGCGGUAAUACGGAGGGUGCAAGCGUUAAUCGGAAUUACUGGGCGUAAAGCGCACGCAGGCGGUCUGUUAAGUCAGAUGUGAAAUCCCCCGGGCUUAACCUGGGAACUGCAUUUUGAAACUGGCAGGCUUGAGUCUUGUAGAGGGGGUAGAAUUCCAGGUGUAGCGGUGAAAUGCGUAGAGAUCUGGAGGAAUACCGGUGGCGAAGGCGGCCCCUGGACAAGACUGACGCUCAGGUGCGAAAGCGUGGGGAGCGAAACAGGAUUAGGAUACC